CCCUGACAGGUUCAUCUGAGCCUGACACUAGCCACGACAGGAGAUUCCCAUG
ncrna:unclassified sequences Mu-gpT-DE RNA